rnacentral:rRNA from 1 species
CCUACGGGGUGCAGCAGUCGAGAAUCAUUCACAAUGGGGGAAACCCUGAUGGUGCGACGCCGCGUGGGGGAAUGAAGGUCUUCGGAUUGUAAACCCCUGUCAUGUGGGAGCAAAUUAAAAAGAUAGUACCACAAGAGGAAGAGACGGCUAACUCUGUGCCAGCAGCCGCGGUAAUACAGAGGUCUCAAGCGUUGUUCGGAAUCACUGGGGGGAAAGCGUGCGUAGGCUGUUUCGUAAGUCGUGUGUGAAAGGCGCGGGCUCAACCCGCGAACGGCACAUGAUACUGCGAGACUAGAGUAAUGGAGGGGGAACCGGAAUUCUCGGUGUAGCAGUGAAAUGCGUAGAUAUCGAGAGGAACACUCGUGGCGAAGGCGGGUUCCUGGACAUUAACUGACGCUGAGGCACGAAGGCCAGGGGAGCGAAAGGGAUUAGAUACCCGGGUAGUC